rnacentral:tRNA from 1 species
GAGGGUAUAGGUCAGUGGUAGAGUGCAUGCCUAGCAUGCACAAGGUCCUGGGUUCAAUCCCUGGUACUUCCA